rnacentral:rRNA from 1 species
UACGGAGGGGGCUAGCGUUGUUCGGAAUUACUGGGCGUAAAGCGCACGUAGGCGGACUGCUAAGUCGGGGGUGAAAUCCUGAGGCUCAACCUCAGAAUUGCCUUCGAUACUGGCGGUCUCGAGUGCGGGAGAGGUGAGUGGAAUUCCCAGUGUAGAGGUGAAAUUCGUAGAUAUUGGGAAGAACACCAGUGGCGAAGGCGGCUCACUGGCCCGCAACUGACGCUGAGGUGCGAAAGCGUGGGGAGCAAACAGGAUUAGAAACCCGCGUAGUC